rnacentral:rRNA from 2 species
GGGUUGUGAGGUUAAGCGACUAAGCGUACACGGUGGAUGCCCUGGCAGUCAGAGGCGAUGAAGGGCGUACUAAUCUGCGAUAAGCGCCGGUAAGGUGAUAUGAACCGUUAUAACCGGCGAUACCCGAAUGGGGAAACCCAGUGUGAUUCGUCACACUAUCAUUAACUGAAUCCAUAGGUUAAUGAGGCGAACCGGGGGAACUGAAACAUCUAAGUACCCCGAGGAAAAGAAAUCAACCGAGAUUCCCCCAGUAGCGGCGAGCGAACGGGGAGGAGCCCAGAGCCUGAAUCAGCAUGUGUGUUAGUGGAAGCGUCUGGAAAGGCGCGCGAUACAGGGUGACAGCCCCGUACACAAAAGCGCAUGUGCUGUGAGCUCGAUGAGUAGGGCGGGACACGUGGUAUCCUGUCUGAAUAUGGGGGGACCAUCCUCCAAGGCUAAAUACUCCUGACUGACCGAUAGUGAACCAGUACCGUGAGGGAAAGGCGAAAAGAACCCCGGCGAGGGGAGUGAAAAAGAACCUGAAACCGUGUACGUACAAGCAGUGGGAGCCCCACCACCAAAGCAUUUGCUGUACCGCGUUG